rnacentral:rRNA from 1 species
UACGAAGGGGGCUAGCGUUGUUCGGAAUCACUGGGCGUAAAGGGCGCGUAGGCGGCUUUAUAAGUCGGGGGUGAAAGCCUGUGGCUCAACCACAGAAUUGCCUUCGAUACUGUAGAGCUUGAGACCGGAAGAGGUAAGUGGAACUGCGAGUGUAGAGGUGAAAUGCGCAGAUAUCGGGAGGAACACCGGUGGCGAAGGCGGCUUUCUGGACAGAUACCGACGCUGAGGCACGAAAGCUAGGGGAGCAAACAGG